GCAGGGUCAGGAGGUUCCACCCACUUCAUUCCUGCCAAUCAGUUGAAGCCGGUGUGAGCUUCGGACGUUAAUCCCACCCCCCGGCGGUUUGUUGCAGAGUUUCUGGCUUCUGCCACACUCCAGAAAACUUUCUGGAAUUACCCACUCUAAGUUCAGGUCAGAUACCCAUCCACCGACUCAGACUUCGCUGAACUGUUGAGCAACAAGAGAGAACCACUUCCAGACCUGUGCCUGAGAAAUUACAUGAAAGGGUGGCAACAAAGAAAUCAAACAGUGAUGAUACAUUACAGUUUUCUACAAGUCAUAAACAGUGAAGUUAACUGGGAGAAAUGAACCACAUUAAACAAAGACCACGUUUUCUGCUUUUUCUUCUAAGU
rnacentral:lncRNA from 1 species